AAAAAUAAAAAAAAAAUUUUUGAACAAAAAAAAAAAAAAAAAAAAAAAAAAAAAAAAAAAAAAAAAAAAAAAAAAAAAAAAAAAAAAUUAU